AUUUCUUUAUAGGAUUUAUAGCUGUAAUUUAUUCAUUCUUUAAAUACUUUCAUUUCCAGGUUCUUGCACAGAAAUAUGAGAAAAUGGAGAUCAUAACAUUUUCAAUGCAGUAAAUUUUAUUAAUUAUAGCUUCUAGGGUCUAUUCUGCAGGUCUUUUUAGAGACUGAAGUCCAAUAAAUAAAUGUAUGUUUGCUAACUUUCUCUGGAGUCAUAUCUAGAUGACAUUUAUUUUAAAGAUAAACACACAAUGAAAAAAACUAAAACAACAUUAAACAAGAAUAGAAUGUUUGCAAUAUGCAUAGAUUUACAAAGUGAGAGUUCUUAGCUGAGAGAGUAACUUUCUCCACUUCCAGCAAUUAUAUAUAGUUGUCAUCUUACCAUAUUUUCAAAUUAAUGUCCAAAAUAAGCCAUGAUUCCACUACAAAUAUAACUUCAUCAGUGAACAAUAAUCAAAGAGAUUUCCCUGAACUAAAACAAUGCCUCUAGUUUAUAUAAUAAACAGGACUAUUCAAAUCUGCUCUACAGCUUGACUGGGCCAAUUUAUAAAACUGGAAUCACGAUUGACCAUGACCAUCUGUAUUUCUCACAAUGCCCUUCCUGUCCUCUCCAUCUUUUCAUACAGGCAUACCUGGAUGCUAGUUAAUCAUUAAUUAAUUUGGAAUCUUCUGACUGCAGCUCAUGGGCUAAGACCUUUCAUGAGCUCUACAUUCACUUGAAGCUAUGGCCUUGAGUGGAAUUAUUCUGACUUUCACUUUGACAAUACAGAGAGAUCUGUGCAGUAAUCAGCUCCUAAGACAAGAGUGGAAGGAAAUGGUGCUCCAAGUGCCCUGCAGUUGUGUGUGCAUUUGGGCCUCAGUUAUGAACCUAAGCAAUGCCAGAUCUCUGCUGUAUCUAGAAUUUUGAUGAUUGUUGGUGUAUUAUAGUCACUUAUUACCAGGAUAAUAUUUAGGAUGAAACCAAGUGUUCCUAAAUAUCUUCUUGUAUUCUUAUGCAUCAUCAGAACACUUAUGACAAGCUCAAUGAAAAUAAACUAUGGAUAAAACCAGCAUUUGCAUUUAAGAAGAGGCCAUUUCUUUAUUUGAACAUGUCAUCAAACAAAUGUAAUUAAAUAAUAUUAAGUAAAAAGAUGGAUAGUGACUGUUGUUAAAAAGUCUGCUUUUCCUCACAGCUUAUGAUGCUUACACUGCUGUAGGCUCUGAAAAGAGCUGUUGUUAAACAGUGCUGUGAUAGCACGGUCUCAGCAUCCUCACUUCUGAAAAAUAUAGAUACUAAGUAAUUUAAUAUUGGUAUUUAGAACCACAGACUCAAAAGAUAAAAUUUACAAACAACAAACUUAGAAAAUGUAGGAGCUUGCUUUGUAAGGAUUUGGGGUUUGGACUAGGUCCACACAUUUAAUGCAUAUUUUGACACAAGUUAAAUCCAAAAUGCAUAAUUCAUUGAAGAGUACAACAUUCCUCAAUGAUAUUUGUGGGUUAAUAAUUAUAUGUACCUCUUAACACUACACUCAGUCUUUAUAGCCAGGAAGAUGGAUUCUUGCAAUUGCAUUUAAUGCUAUAAAUAGAAUAAACAUUUGCACAGAAACUCUUAUUUUUUUAAGAAAAUUCUCUCAAUUUUAUAGUGUUGGAAUUACAUUUUUUUAAACAAUUCCUUUUAAAAUUUCUUUUCCAUAUAGUAUGGCCUUCUCUUUAUCACAAAUUAAAUACAGAAAAAGGUGAUUUCUAAGAACUUCUCCACAUAAAGCAAUGCACAUUAAGUUCUUGUGUACUGUGGGCAGAAAUAAUUACAAAAAAAAUCCUGUUGUUAACAAGCAAUUAUAGCUCAAAGGAAUUUCAGACAUCUUAUACCUGCUGCCUCUAAGAGACAAUCUCUCAAUCAUUCACAUUCCUAAAUAUUUCUUCACAGUGGGCUACUUUCUAGGGCAAAUAUAAACAGAAAUGCAAUUGUUCUACUCUAUUCCCUCCUGCAUUUUUUCAAAAUCCAACUGGGGUAUUAUCGUAAGUCUCCUUUGAUAUUAUAAAUAUUUCUAUUUUUCACUCAGUCAAAGGCUAUGCAAUUUCAGCUGUUCUGGAUUUUUUUUCUAAUGCUGAAUUUAUGGCAAAAGAAAACUGUCAGUAAAUUCCUAUCCAGAUUUCUCCACUAUAUUAGUUUUGGAGCUUUAGUUAGAAGCAGAGUGAUGGUAAUGUAUAUGUUGCUCUUAUCCCGUUGUUUAAUAUACCAUGACCAUGAUCUCUCCAUUAUAAAGUCAAAACAGAACUGAAAAGGCAGGAGAAUUACUUUGUUUCUACAACAUGUCACUGCUGGGGCUGCAGGGUAUGACUAGACCAGACUAAUAGCCACUUUGGGAUUAUUUCAGACAGUGCUUUAUCCAUCAAGUAUGACUUGUACAACAGAAUAUUUGAAAACAAAGCAAAAAGGACAAGAAUUACAUGUACAUCUAUAGGGGCCACCUACAGGGCAGCAGUGCUUUCAUAGUUCUUGGGCUGGCAGUUACAGUGUUCACAGUCUUUUAAAAAGGGCUCCUCUUACCAUAUACACAAGGGAAGAAAUCAUGAUCCUCCAGGAACUGACUAUUUUCCUGGAUAACUGCACACUGAUGUGCAACUUCAAGGAAAUACUUUGAAAUCACAGAAUUUCCCUGACUAUAAUCUAUAUAGAUAUAUAUAAAAAAACCCAACAAACUAUUUGUUACUGUGAGUUAAAUACAGGUAAGCUGGAACUGAGAGCAUAUUUGUUUGCUAGAAGUCCACCCUGUGACUCAAUGGUCUCAACAUUCAUCUUUCCAUUGUCCAGACAGACUGAUUAAAGCUUUUUCCCAGUGAAGCAGUAUAAAUGUGAAGGGUAAAUUUAAGGCCUCAGAUGUCCUUGAAUAAGUCAUUUCUGAAUUUUCUGUCCAAUAAAAAUCAAUGACUCCUACUUCAUGAGUGUGCUUGGAGAAUAUGCACAAUCAAGAAAGACUUCAACAUCCCUGGUUAAUAGGGCCAUUGAGUGAUGUUUCUGGCAGAUUUGCAGGUUCCAUGAAAUGACUGGGCAGGCCACAGUUGUCCUGAUCAAAGUUUUACAUUCAUUACCAUGGGCUCAAUGCCCAAAAUUACUCAAUAAGCAUUGCUGAAUAUCAAACACAGCUUACUUUGUUUGUACGUGUAUUCACUGUGUUCUGACUCCUUGUUUGCUUGAAGAAAUAGCAAGAAUGCAUAGCUGAAAAGAAAGACAGGGCUUUUUUAUUUUUAUCACAGUCCUGAAAGCCAAAAUCUGGCAGCCCAGAACUGUGGCUUUGGUGCAGUACCUUGUUGUGGCUUUUGAAGAUUCGUCCAAAUAAACACUGCAUUCCUUAGAUCCAAAUCUAGCUAUUCGGACUAUACUUUUUUUCCUAACUAUAGUCCUGCCGACAGAAUAUAACUGCCUUUAUUGCUAUUGAGUUUAGACAGGAUUAGGGGAUCAACAUCCAGUAACUGCUUUGAUGAUGGCAGACGGUAGUCACUUCUUUGAAACUUGGCAGCAGAUAUAUCACCAACCUUUCCAGUAUCUCUGCACUCCACCCCACAAAAACAACUCUCAGGAGGGAACACUAACACAACAAGAAGUACUGCAUCAUCCUCUCUCCCUCUGCUAACCAUGGUAUGCAAUUAUCACAAGGGCUGUCACUGAUCCCGUCCAUGGUUGGCUGGCUGACUCAUUCUGACUGCUCUGUGCCAAAAAAAGUUUUUACUGUUCCUUGCAGCAGUUCUGCCUGAUUUAGAUGAGCUCAUACACGAAUUGCAAGGCACUGAAAGAAGAUGGGAGAACGCUGGAUUCAGAAACAGCAGCUUGGGACCUCAGGGAAUUCUUUACACCAUAUAUUCAACCAGCUUGAAACAAAAUUGAGUUCACUGUCUGCAGCUCACAAAGACAGUAAGCUGAAAGAGUUAAAACAUUCAGCUAGAAACCCACUGACAAAAAUAUUGCUUAACCUCCCCAAACUUAGAAUUGGCAGGUUUUUUUCCCCUUCUGUUAGCAAAAGCACUACUUCCCCAUUACAAACCUCGGCUUAUUUAUAGUUAGAGAGACGUGAAACCUAUGGGCCUGCUUGGGGUGGGGCUCCAAAGGGACUGCCAAGGGAAGGGCUGGGCUGGAGAAAUGGUCCUUUGACCCCUCCAUCGUGCCAGAGCUAAGGUUAAUGUUAUGAGAGAGACACAGCCUCGGGGUCCAGCUGGAGCGGGGCCUUUGGUGGGCUGCCAAAGGAGCAGCAUUACAAACAUGGCUACAAUAUGAACUACACAUGCUUGUGUACCAAACUCCAUCACACAUGGGUAGGAACCCUACCAGUGGCUCUGUCACCAUCAGGAUGACCAUCAGGACCCUUUGAAAGUGAGAGACAAAUUCACAGAGGCCAACAGGGACUGGUAGUGGAGCUUCAGAUCUGCAUAGACCUCAAGUGUUUAAACUCUGGUUCUUCUGCUCAGAGAUUCCGAAGAGGAUUAAACUCAGAGCUUUAUCCAAGACCCAUUUAUCAAAGUUGGACAAAUUAUUUUCAGGCUGAAUAUAGGGCCUUUGACUCAAGAAAAGAUCCAGAUUAUCUGUUUUGCUUAUAAAAUCAUCCACUCCUUGACUGUGUACAUUUUUUUAUAUGUAAGCAAUGCAGAAUGAGUAGCCAGUGUCAGCAUUCUUCCUAAACUUGGUUACUUAUCUGAAACUUAAAUAAUUUCUAAAGCAUAAAGACUAUAACUUUUGAAUUCAUAAUGCUCAAAUGUUUGCUAGAUUAAGAAUGAAUCUUAAAUUGGAAAAGGAUGAAAUGAAGUUUUAUUUAGCAUUCAAAAUACUUGCAUUUUUGAAAGUUACUCAAGUAACCACAAAAGAUAUAAAGAAUUCUCUAUUUCCCAAUUUGAAACAACUUAAGAGUAUACAACUCUUUGCAGAUGCCAAUCUAAAUGUGUCAGCCAGAUGUUUUUUUUCCCUAACACAGUUCAAUUAAAAUGUUUAAUGAAGACCACCCAUGGAAAAUAAUUAGGAAAAAAAAUUCUACUGUAGCUGAGAAAAUAAUCUUUGGAUUUUAAUAUAUAACGAGAGAAAACAGAAUUUAAUACCUCUGUGAGACAAUGAUAUGUCACAGCCACUUCCUAGUAAAUUAAAUAUAUAAAUUAGAAUAUCAGCAAGACAUUAAAAUGCAGAUUGUAGGAAAAGAAAAAACAGAACACAUAAAAAGUUCUGCUUACCUCUGAAAUUAAAAUUAGAAUUUUUUUAAUCUUUUCUAACUUUAGCCAAGAAGCUGAAAUUGAUGUGAGUCAAUGCCAUUAAUUACUUGAGCUUUUACAAUUUAGGUGAUUUUUUUUUUCUUUUCCAUGAAACUAGGUAUCAGCAUAAAAAAUCCAGUUAAAAAUACCAUUAAGAGAAGUUUCCACUUCUGUGGGUAAGACAACAUCUUUCCUCAUGUAAUAUGAGUGCUGAAUGCUGAAGAACACACAGGAAUGUAGGGCAGAAAUUUCUCCCACCCCCAAGUCCAGUCCCCUGUUAUUGUGAAAACCACAUCUUGUAACGCCUACUAUAAACCAAAAUGUUACAUGUGAUAUUGACUGAGAACAGUUAGCUUUCUAAUCUUACAUGUUUCCAUGUGUAUAUAAGGCAAUAAAUAAAUAUGCACUACAAAAAAAGAGUGGGGAUAACAUAAAUUCCUUGGAUCUACUUGCCUUACAUAAAGGGGAAUGGCUGUCAACAUCUCCAUUUGCAUUUGAUUGCACAAAUAAACUAUACCAAAACAUUCUGAAUAAAUAAGAGCUAAUGGAACUUCUGCUCUUUGGAUGAUUUAUCUCAAAAAGAUAUUUGAAGGACAACAUAUCACUAUGACACAUAUAAAAAUAGUAAAUCUAAAGGUCACAAAAGGUAAUUCAACACUCUCCUCUUUCAGAAUCCCACACUCGAAACCAUGUUACUAACUGUAUGCUACAAUUAGAAUAUUGAACUUACAGUUGCACUAAACAGGCUGAAGAUGGUGAACAAAAUAGAACAGAAAAAAAUACUGACAUAAAGGAGCAGAAGUGACAUAGAAGUGAGAGAAACAUAAAGCUCUUUGGGAGAAAGAUAAAAAGCUG